AGGUCUGGAGAACGGAUUCUCCCCGCUCCCAAACUACAUGAAGCCCCUUCCCGCUGGGGAAGGAGAGAGGAGACACGGAGGGGCAGCAAGGGGGCUGGGGGGCCCGGGGCUCCGGGGAAGGCCCCGCAGCUGCCCCUCAGGCAGGAGAGUGUGGACUCCUGUGGACAGAGAGAACCCGGAAACUUGGAAGAGGACCUUUCCCUGCUGCCCCAGAACUGUGGUCCGAGGCUCCAAGCUAGAAGCGGAGGGAUAGCCGCUGCCCCCAGCCUGCAUCAAAAGGGGCCAGAGCGACCAUAAACAGCUACGUGUCUCCCCAGGGCCUGGAGGGCCCAACCCAGCGCCGCCAGGGGAUGCCGUAUUCUCUCCACCUGGGGGUUCCUGCUCCAGAAGUGCUCCCUGUGAGGAAUUUAGCCCUGGAUGCCCCCCACUCCUGCGCUCCCAUCCCUACUCCCCCAACCCCUGUGCCCGUGCGGUCGGCAGAUCUUGAAAUCCCCAACACUCUUGAACAAGGGACCCCUCAUUUUCAUUUUGUCCUGGGCCCUGCAAAUUACAUAGUCCAUCUCAAGACAGCUC